AGAGUUUGAUCCUGGCUCAGGACGAACGCUGGCGGCGUGCCUAAUACAUGCAAGUCGAGCGGAUCUUUAGAAGCUUGCUUCUGAAGAUUAGCGGCGGACGGGUGAGUAACACGUGGGCAACCUGCCUGUAAGACUGGGAUAACACCGGGAAACCGGUGCUAAUACCGGAUAAUUCUUUUCCUCUCAUGAGGAAAAGCUGA
rnacentral:rRNA from 1 species